rnacentral:lncRNA from 1 species
UGUUUUCAAUUUUAUUUUCUACAACAGAAUCUAUUUCAAGCAAUCAGCUAUAAAAAUCCUGAUCUGGUGAAUCAACACCCCAAUUAUCACAGACAUAGUUAACAGAUAAACAACACAUAAACAUAACAAUAUCUAACAACUUUAAUAAACAGAAGGUGGGCUUUUUGUUGUGUAAUUUUUCUAUGACUGUAUUCCUCUCAAUUUUAUUAGGAUACCAGUCAUAUGUAAAUAAAAAUUCAAAUUAUCUAUCAUAAAAGUGCCACCUUGUGUUUACUUAAGUUGCUACAAUGAAUAAAGAACAGGAAAAAGAUUUUGAUUUUCGAAAAAAAAGUACCUGACUGACAGAGAUUCCUAAUGUUAUAUCUGGUUACAUUAAUUUAACUUAUAAUUCCACUAUCCCUCAAACUGCUGAAAGUCAAAUAGAUAUAAAAGUCUGUUUAAAUGUUUAAAUCAGACAUGGUAAAACUCAACAGAUUAAAUGAAAAGAGAAAGAACUUAUUUAAUCUAGGUAUUAUGCGCUUGCUAAAUUAGUUUAAUUUUUAAAAUAUUGUUUACUUACAAAUGUAUUUCUUGUAAACCUUUUUUUAAUCAAUUAGAAAAAUAUAAAAAAUAAAACAAUUUUAAUUUCUAGAAGAAUUCAUUGGGAAUUAUUUAUGUGUAAUUAAACUAAUACAGUAUGAUAGCACUAAAACAUUUCUAGGAAGAUUUUGGCCUCUACUAUCUGUACUACAUGAAUGCAUGUUAAGAAUAACAAAUCGAAAAAUCUACCAAAAAUUAGCUGACAAAUAUAAAUACUGGAUUGUGUUGAGCAAAGCAAAAAACAUAAAUCUUAUUGUUAUUUGAUUACAAAUAUUGGAUAUCAUAGGUAUUCCAAUAUAAUGUGACAUCACAAGAGAAAACAUUUGAUGUCACAGCAGAAAGUAAACGUUUUUUCUCAUGAGCCACAAUCCCAAAUAGCAAUAGAAUCUAUUUUGUCUCAAGUUCUGUAUGUCAAAAAUAUCUUCACAAAUUGGAUCUUUAAAUUGUUAGUUAAGGUACUUAAGAAUCUCAUUGACACCAAAAGUAAUAGAUUGACUAAGUUGCUUUUUAGGAUGACCUUCGGGACAUUUCACCAAAAACCUGUUACAACAGAUGAAACAUAUCUGUAACAUAUCCAAAUUUCUGAAUAAACUAUGGCCUCCUACAAGUUUAUAGGAACCCUUGAUAUUGUGAUUUAAAAAAAAAUAAGUUGCCUCAUAUACUUCAAUUUUUUUUUUAAUUGGCGAUUCUGAACUUUUCAGGAUAAUUAUGUAAACCUUUGCUGACUUGUUACUAAGGAUAACAAAUCCCAUUCUGUGUAUGAUCAUUUUGACAACAAAACUUGAACAACAUUUUCUAAUUUAAAAACUGGGUACAUAAAAGUAAAAAAUCUAGUCUAUUCUUAAAACAAGGCAGUUGAACUAAAACUGGAUUCUAAUAUAUACACAAAGAGCAUUUAAACUUUAAAAGGAUGAUGGGAAAGUCAUGAAAAUUGUCUAUGUUAAUUAUUGAAAUGUUUUAUUCAUUUAAGUUUGCCAAUUGC